AGUGAACGCUGGCGGUAGGCCUAACACAUGCAAGUCGAACGGCAGCACAGUAAGAGCUUGCUCUUACGGGUGGCGAGUGGCGGACGGGUGAGGAAUACAUCGGAAUCUACUUUUUCGUGGGGGAUAACGUAGGGAAACUUACGCUAAUACCGCAUACGACCUACGGGUGAAAGCAGGGGAUCUUCGGACCUUGCGCGAUUGAAUGAGCCGAUGUCGGAUUAGCUAGUGGGCGGGGUAAAGGCCCACCAAGGCGACGAUCCGUAGCUGGUCUGAGAGGAUGAUCGGCCACACUGGAACUGGGACACGGUCCGGACUCCUACGGGAGGCAGCAGUGGGGAAUAUUGGACAAUGGGCGCAGGCCUGAUCCAGCCAUACCGCGUGGGUGAAGAAGGCCUUCGGGUUGUAAAGCCCUUUUGUUGGGAAAGAAAAGCAGCAGGUUAAUACCCCGCUGUUCUGACGGUACCCAAAGAAUAAGCACCGGCUAACUUCGU
rnacentral:rRNA from 1 species